rnacentral:rRNA from 1 species
AACGAACGCUGGCGGCAUGCCUUACACAUGCAAGUCGAACGGUAACAGGUCUUCGGAUGCUGACGAGUGGCGAACGGGUGAGUAAUACAUCGGAACGUGCCUAGUAGUGGGGGAUAACUACUCGAAAGAGUGGCUAAUACCGCAUGAGAUCUACGGAUGAAAGCAGGGGAUCGCAAGACCUUGUGCUACUAGAGCGGCCGAUGGCAGAUUAGGAAGUUGGUGGGAUAAAAGCUUACCAAGCCGACGAUCUGUAGCUGGUCUGAGAGGACGAUCAGCCACACUGGGACUGAGACACGGCCCAGACUCCUACGGGAGGCAGCAGUGGGGAAUUUUGGACAAUGGGCGCAAGCCUGAUCCAGCAAUGCCGCGUGCAGGAUGAAGGCCUUCGGGUUGUAAACUGCUUUUGUACGGAACGAAAAGCCCUGGGUUAAUACCCUGGGGUCAUGACGGUACCGUAAGAAUAAGCACCGGCUAACUACGUGCCAGCAGCCGCCGUAAUAC